rnacentral:rRNA from 1 species
AUUGAACGCUGGCGGCAUGCCUAACACAUGCAAGUCGAACGGGCUGUAGCAAUACAGUCAGUGGCGCACGGGUGCGUAACGCGUAGAUAAUCUACCUCUCAGUGGGGGAUAACUAGGGGAAACUCUAGCUAAUACCGCAUAAGACCACGGAGUCUUCGGGCUUUGAGGGAAAAGGCGGCCUCUGAAUAUGCUGUCGCUGGGAGAUGAGUCUGCGUCCCAUCAGCUAGUUGGUGAGGUAAUGGCUCACCAAGGCAAAGACGGGUAGCUGGUCUGAGAGGAUGAUCAGCCACACUGGCACUGGAACACGGGCCAGACUCCUACGGGAGGCAGCAGUGGGGAAUAUUGGGCAAUGGGCGGAAGCCUGACCCAGCCACGCCGCGUGAGUGAUGAAGGCCUU